CUAAGUUCCCCAUGACCAGCCUCUGGGCAAUGUGACCUAUAAGGGGAGAGUGGAGAACAUGGCAUGUGUUCCAGGCCAGGAAUCUGACAGGGAGCAGGGAGGCGCCUGCCGUCUCAGGUGUGUGUACCUGAGUUUUCGGGGUCUCAGACUCCCAACAUCUUACCAGGUUUCCUGGAAUGGUCCAUUGUCCCAUGAGGACCCGUUCCUGGAAAGGAAAGCCACAGCCCAAGAGGGUCUCUAAGGAGGAAAUGCAACUUCUGAGUGAGAGAAGUGCCCCAGUGAUGAAAACUGUCACUACCUGGACUGUACAAGAGCAAAACUAUCACAUUUGGCAGGCGAGUGAAUCUCCAAAGUCACAGAGGCAGCACCUAUGCAGCCAGGGUCCAAGCUUAUGUAAAAGCUUGUGUAAAGGCCACACUCAAGCCCUGGCCCUGAGCUGAUGAGAGCUGUAGGUUCUGAUAUGAAAGUGGCCCUAAAGUUGGGUGUGUUUGUACAUGUUCGAGCGUCUGUGUACACAUGCCUGUGUGAAUGUGUUGAAAACUGAACCCAAGAGGCCUCGUGCUUGUGAGGCAAGCCCUCUACCAAUGAUCUAUUUUGUCAUCCCUCUUUUUACUUUUGAUUUUAAUGCAGGGUCUUUCUAAGUUCCCCAUGACCAGCCUUGUGCUUGCCCUGUAACUUAGGCAAUCCUUAAAUUUUCUGUCUGCUUCCUCAGCCUCCCAAGUAGGUGGGAUAACAGGUCAUGACCACCAGUGCCCAUCAGGAUUGACAUUUUUCAAGCCAUACCUCUAUUGAGUAAUGUAGAAAAUAUAGAACAGGAGGAGGAAGAGGGGGAGAAGAGGAGGAAGAAAACUCAAGCUGGGUGAGGCAGGGGACUCAAUCUCAUAGCUCCUUGAGUCAGACGAACACUCAUCUCUUCUCUCUCCCUCUCUUCCCCAUCACUUCUCACUGUACUGCUCAAGCCAGAGUUUCCAAUUAGCAUGAGCAACCUCCUGAUGGUUCCCAACUCCCAGGUCACCAUGUUAAUACCAAAUCAGCCAAGCAUAUUCUAGGCCAGAAUCCCUGGGCCUAAAUGAUCUUCCUGCCUCAAGACUCUAGAGUAUCCAGGACCACAGAUAUGCACACUCACACCCACCUCACUCUUCAGUAAACAGAAAGCAAAAGAUCUACAAGAAGCAAUGGUGUGGUGACAGAAGGUAGAGGCUGAAAAGAAAAUUAUACGAAUUCUAGGUUUAUAAAUAUAAAAAUUAAAAAAUAAACCCCAAAAGGCCACAGACCCAGGGCUAAGCCCUGCAGCCAAGACUAGCAGGCCAUAAAGAUAAAGGAGCACAGGAAACACUGUUCAGGCAGGACUGACAAGCCAUAAAAAAAAGGAAUGCAGGAACCAGCCUGAGUUAAUGGGACUGAUUCAUGGGACGUCUGGCAGGAAGACAUCCCCCCCCAGCUCACUCAGGGCCAUCCUCCAGACCCUGAUAAGCCCCUACUUGUGCUUUUCAGCCAUUGUGUCCUACAGAGAGCAUUCCAAGAAACCGGACAGCCCAAGCCUAACCAGAGGUGUUUCAAAUACAAAUGCUCCAUCAGUUUUGACAAACGUUUAAAAAUAAUGAGGACCUGAAGACCCUACCCUUCUCCUGAUUUAGUAGCUCUGUUCCAGGAACCAGGGGGCCAUAAAACCUUCUGGCGUCCCCUUAUCUCCUGGAGCCAUAAAACAAUCCUGUAACUUGUGGUGCAUUCCCCUUUGACAUCCCCCAUCCCCUGGUGCUCACAGCCUCUGCCUUUAAAUACUCUUUUUCCCAGCCUCUCGGGGUCGACACCUCUGUCUCCUGCGUGGGAUAUGUGUCGGCCCGGAGAUCUCUGUAAUAGGUCUCCGUAAUAAACCUCGCCUUUGCUUAUUACAUCCAAAAUGGUCUCUCUGUGUCUGGGGUCCGCGAUUUCCCAAGAUUUGAGUAAGGGUCUCUCUGCGUGGGAUCUUUCAUAUUUAUGGGGGCUCGUCCGGGAUCUUCGCGACCACCCCAGACUCCGAAGACCCCUUGGAGGUGAGUUGGAUGUUUGUCUGAGUGUUUCUGUGUGAGCGGCGCCGCAAUUGUCAGUCUGUGUCUGUCUCUGUUUUGGUUCCGCCGUGUGUGUAUAUAUGUGUGUCUUAGUACUGGUCAGUGUUAAGAGGGCAGAUGGGUAUUCCUGCCCUGUGGUAAGAGGGCAGAUGGGUAUUCCUGCCCUGUGGUAAGAGGGCAGAUGUGUGUUCCUGCCUUGUGCUGAGAGGGUGGAUGUGUAUUCCUGCCCUGUGCUAGGAGGGUGGAUGUGUGUUCCUGCCCUGUUCUAGGAGAGUGGAUGUGUAUCCCCACUCAGUGCAGCUGCCUUUGUGGUUCGUGAGGACCCUCUGGCUGCGGAAGGGGGGACGCCCCGGGCCCGCAAGGCUGCAGCCCCUGGAAGACGUUCCACGGGCGGAGAACAGUCGGGAGAGCCCGGCUAUGGACAGUCAGGAGGACCUGACUCUGGUUUUCUGGAACAAAGGAGAUGGAAUGCUCCUUUUACCUAGGCGGGAGUGGACGAGGAAUCCCACUCCGUCAGAGGUCGAGUUCGGCUGCCUAUUUAAAUAUAGGCACGGACAAGUGUGCUUGGUCGUUAGGACAAGAGGACACUCUGGAAUCCUGUUGGGAGGUGGAAUCAGAUGGUCCAUCUCAUCCCAAAAGCAGCUAAGGUUAAGCUGCAGUUUGGGCCACGUACUGAAGGUACCAGGCAUCUGUGAAAGUUGGUUAUAAGAUGCUUUGUCUUGGUCUUGUUUGUCUGGCUUGUUUUCUGUGGUAUUGUCGAGUGUCUUUUUGGCUUUUGUUUCGUUUUUGAAUUUUGGACUGACGACUGUGUUUGAAUUUUGGACUGACGACUGUGUUUGAAUUUGGACUGACGACUGUGUUUAAAAUCUUGGACUGAUGACUGUGUUUGAAAUCAUGAAACUGUUUGCUUUGUUCGUCAAAGAGUUUUGCUUGGUCCUCUUGGUGCUUAAGUUAAAAGUUAAAAAUAAUUUGCUUGAGAGAAAUUGUUUUCUGCCAGGGAGUUUUGUCUUUCUCUCUUGAGCCUCCUCCCCAAGGAGAGAGACCCCUCCCUUUACUCCCCUUGAUCAGCCUAGCUGCUGUUAACAGUUGUGUAAACAGACAUUAACAAAAACCUUGAGGACAAAACCUCUCGUAAAUAAAAAAGUUCCCCAGAUUAGGCCUCCGGUAUAAAACAAGUAUAGUGAGUAAGAAACUUAAUUUUAUGGACCCCGCUCUAGUGGCGGUGUGUUGGUUGAUAGCCAAUGUUAAGUUUUUAAAACAUAGUGUUUUAUCUGUGCUUGUGCUCCCAACACACAGUAGGGGGGAGCGAAACUAGCUGUGGAGCUGCUGCAGCGAGCAUGGGGACUUCUCAAGUCUCACCCAAUUUUUCUGGCUCUUCAGGAGCUGUUUAAAAGAAAAAGGUUUAGGAUAAAAAGAAACACUACAAAAAGAUUUCUUAGUGAAUUGCUACACCUUGGUUUGCGAUCUCUGGGAAUCUCACGAUGGACAGCUGAGAUAAGCUAAAAAAAAAAAAGAUUUAAAUUUUGCUUGAGAACAAGAAAUCUUAAAGGCGGAGUUUCAGCCGGUAUGACACUUAGUGCGUAGCUGCCUAAAAGAUCAGAAAUGCUGUCAACAGGAUAUAAAAAAGGGACAGGCUGUGUUAGAAAUGCUACAGGAAGAAUGAUCUAAAAAGGCUGAGAGUGAGGUGGGGGAGGACUCUAAAGAAAACAAGAACAAGAAAAGAAUUUCUGCUUUUAGUGGCCAGACCUUCAACUCUUGCUCACAGAAAGAGAGUGCUCAUUAGAAGUUCUUUAAGGAGCCUGCCUUAUCUGCUGGCCCUAUUCCAAGAGAGGAGCCAGUCUCCAGCAUUAAAUUACUUUUCUCACUGGUCAUCAUUAGCAUGGAGAAUGCCUUUGAUCUUAUCCCCACAGCAGCCAGUUCCUGCCCCUAUGGUCGAAAUGUCCCAGGUUGGGGGGCAGAGAAGCCCCUAAAAUAGUUUCAAAGAAUCUACAACAAACUGUAAAGAACUUUGUUUUGUUUUGCCAGUCAAGAUUUAAAAUUCAGGCUUUGGCUGUGGCCAAGGUCAGGAUUAAUGUUUUCUUUUCCAUGGGCCUUUAGCCCACUGAGAAAGUUUGGUAAAGGGCUGCUACUGAGGUCCUGAAAGCCCCAAGUGAACUGGUUACAAUUCUUUUGUCAGUGCUUAGAAUCUAACACCCAGGUUCUAACGUCUCUCCAUCCUUUUGUUAUUAGUUGUUACUGGAAGCCCAGUGCCAUUUAGAGGAUGGGUCUCUUGAGCGAUAAAGCCACUGAGCUGACACUAAAGGAAGGUACUCCUUAAGGGAAAAUCUAAGUCCAGAGAGACAACCUGUAACAGAUAGACUGCCCCUCUGCUCACUUCUCUGUUUCACAGACACAAGGUCUUUUUGUCCAAGAAAGCCUCCUGGCUUAGCUGUGUGACUAAAUGCUAUUUGCCCUCUUCAGUGGACCUCUAUUCUCAAGAUUCCCUUGUUUUCUCACCAUCCCAUUUGAGAUGCUUGUUAGUAACUGUUACAGGUCUUCUUUACCACCGAGGAAAGACAGAAUCCUACUAGAGGCCAGAAAAAGUGUUCCAGAGAUGGAUGGAAGGCCCUCACUUCUGCCUGCUCUCUUCAGACGCCUAAAGUUGGGGACAAUCUGGUCACCUUGCUGCCCAAUCCGGACCUGGAGCCACCACAGCACGAGUGUCAAACACUGACAGAAGCCCAUGGGUGGAGGAAAGACCUCUGUGACUGGCUGAUUGACCCCUGCUGAAAGCCGAGGAGCUUGUCCACAGACGGGAACAGUUCUCUUCACGAAUAAAGGUCAGAGACAAGUGGGUGCUGCCAUGGUAGACAACACAAUGUCAACUAGAAUGGCUGAACCCCAACCCCCCAGCACAUCAGCGCCACAGAUGCCUUUGCCAUCUCUUAGAUGCCCUGAUGAAGCCAACAACUGUGAGUACUAUUCAUUGCUCAGGAUAUCAGGAGGAAAGAGAUUCAGUGACAUGGGACAGUAACAAAACAGAUAAAGUGGCUCGAGAAAUGGCUAUACAGGAGCCUAUCCUGGUUACAGGCCUACAAGAGACAGCCACUGGGAACUGGGAUUAGACUAAGGGAUGGCCUCACUUAGAAUGUACAACAGAAGAAAAGGCCCAAGUUGUUUAAAAGAUAAAAAGACAAUGACACACUUGGGGAGAAAGCUGUACCCCCCCCCCCAAAGAACAAACAAAAGACUCACUUUGCCAAAUUAAGAAAUGGACUCAUUUAAGAGAUAAGAAGUUUGUCCAAAUAGUUAAAAUAUAUGUAAUAGACUUUAAGAUUUUAGCCAAGAGAGACAGUAAAAAGUAUAAGAUAUGUCAGUAAGUGAAUGCUUAACAAACAAACAAGACAAAGAGACCUAGAGAGUUUAAUAAAAAGUCAAAGUGAACUUCACUGAGAUAAAACCAGAAAAAUAUAAUCACAAGUAUCUCCUAGUGCUUGUAGAUACUUUUUCAGGAAUAGAUAGAAGCUUUCCUCACCAAACGAGAGACGGCCUCUACAAUCAUCAAGAAGAUACUGAAAGAAAUCUUCCCCAGGUCUGGAAUGCCCAAGGUAAUCUGGUCAGACAACGGUCCUACUUUCGUUGCCAAGGUAAGCCAGGGUGUGGCCAAGUAUUUAGAGGUCGAUUAGAAAUCACAUUGUAUUUACAGACCUCAAAGCUCAGGACACGUAGAGUAAAUAAAUAGAACUCUAAAAGAGACCCUGACCAAAUUGACCAUGGAGACUGGCACAGACUGGGUGACACUCCUUCCCUCUUGCUCUCUUCAGAGCAAGAAAUACCCCUUCCAGAUUCAGCCUUACCCCCUUUGAGAUCUUAUAUGGGGCCUCAGCUCCCCUGACUGUAUUAGAUGAUGUUACUGAACCAACAUGUCAUAGUAAUAAUGAUUUGUGUGCCAGGCUAAAAGACCUACAGGUGAUACAGAAAGAAAUCUGCUCACAGCUGACAGCAGCCUAUGCCCCGGAGACCCCUGAGACAUCCCAUCAGUUCCAGGUCGGAAGCAGCUACACUGAGCCCAGACACUCGAUCCUCGCUGGAAAGGACCAUACCUGGUGCUGCUGACCACCCUGACAGCCGUCAAUUCUCAGCCCUCACCAGCCGUGUACUAGCUGUUAGGGCUGAGAGCGGGGACCUAGAGAGAAAUUCAGUCAUGUUUGUCCUGGGUUCCAUCGAGAUAGGUGUGGGGAUAGGCUUGAUUUCUAUUACAAAUGAUGUAACAUUACAUAUGUUAGUACUCCUAACACUUCUUGGGACUGUGCCUCAGGGAUCACAACCUGUAUAAGUUUAAAAGUUCUAAAAGACAGUUAUGACCUUGGUAUAUAGGUUCAGAUAGUGUCCAGAUAGAAUCCUGAUGCUAAAGACUUUUUAGCUGACCUCCAAGAAUACCUAACCUCCCUCUCAGAGGUAGUCCUUCAAAAUAAGAAAAGAUUAGACCUGAUAUUCCUUAAAGAAGGAGUCUGUGUGCUACACUGAAAGAAUGUUGCUUCUAUACAGACCAUUCAGGAGUAAUUAAAGACUCCAUAAAUAAACUUAGAGAAAGGUUAGACAAAAGACAGACAGAAAAACACAUCAGAGAUAGUUUGAGAGCUAGUUUAGUAGAUCUCCCUGGAUGACUACCCUACUCUCUGCUACAGCUGGGCCAUUAUUAAUAAUUUUCUUGGUUUUAGUUUUUGGCUCCUGCGUGACAAACAGGUUAAUUGCUUUUGUUAAAAAUUGAGUGGGUGCUGUGCGGUUGAUGGUUGUGAGACAACAGUACCAGUCAGUUAGGACAACUGGUGAGACCAAAUAAGACUUGAUAUCAAAAUUCUAAGAUUAGAAUUAUUUAAUAGGAGAAGACGGGAAUGAAAAGAAAAUUAUACGAAUUCUAGGUUUAUAAAUAUAAAAAUUAAAAAAUAAACCCCAAAAGGCCACAGACCCAGGGCUAAGCCCUGCAGCCAAGACUAGCAGGCCAUAAAGAUAAAGGAGCACAGGAAACACUGUUCAGGCAGGACUGACAAGCCAUAAAAAAAAGGAAUGCAGGAACCAGCCUGAGUUAAUGGGACUGAUUCAUGGGACGUCUGGCAGGAAGACAUCCCCCCCCAGCUCACUCAGGGCCAUCCUCCAGACCCUGAUAAGCCCCUACUUGUGCUUUUCAGCCAUUGUGUCCUACAGAGAGCAUUCCAAGAAACCGGACAGCCCAAGCCUAACCAGAGGUGUUUCAAAUACAAAUGCUCCAUCAGUUUUGACAAACGUUUAAAAAUAAUGAGGACCUGAAGACCCUACCCUUCUCCUGAUUUAGUAGCUCUGUUCCAGGAACCAGGGGGCCAUAAAACCUUCUGGCGUCCCCUUAUCUCCUGGAGCCAUAAAACAAUCCUGUAACUUGUGGUGCAUUCCCCUUUGACAUCCCCCAUCCCCUGGUGCUCACAGCCUCUGCCUUUAAAUACUCUUUUUCCCAGCCUCUCGGGGUCGACACCUCUGUCUCCUGCGUGGGAUAUGUGUCGGCCCGGAGAUCUCUGUAAUAGGUCUCCGUAAUAAACCUCGCCUUUGCUUAUUACAUCCAAAA